rnacentral:siRNA from 1 species
ACGGGCAAAGAUGGGCAAGAAUGG